CUACAAAGCUAGACUUGUCACCGCUGGAUGUAAGCGCGUGCGCACGACUUUUUGUCUAAGCUAGACAUUUUGUCCACUUGCCCAGACUAGCUUUCUGCGACUGAAAUGUUCUACUUGAGACGAGAAAGUAUAAAAGUAGUUAAAAUUGGUGUCCGUUGGCAAGUAACCGCAUGACAAUGUAUACGGAACAGCUAUCAGGGUCCUGCACCUGAUUGGCUGCUGUGAGAGUUUUGCCCUGUCAGUCUCCUGGAGGCUGGGAUGUCUUCAGGACCAUGGUCAGAGGCAGGUAUGCACAGAUUAAACGUGUUCCUGUCUCAGCAUGCUGCCCACCCCAGAAGGCCCGCCUCUCAAUGAAAUGAGACCGCCUUCCGAUUGGUUAUUUCUGCAGAACAGCUCCGCCACUCAAACAGCCCCCCAGUCAGCAAGACCCGCUGAGCCACGCCCCUCCUCUGAACUCCGAAGCUGAUUGGUGGUGAGGCUUCGGUUUUGUUGUGCCUUCAUGUUUAUCCUCCCGAAUUUGAAUGAAAAAUGGCAUUCAUAGUCCCGUACUCCUGCAACCAAUUCCAAUUGUUUUUUUG